rnacentral:tRNA from 1 species
AGGUGAUUAACUCAGCGGUAGAGUGCCGUGUUUACACCACGGAUGUCGUGAGUUCAAAUCUCUCAUCACCU